rnacentral:misc_RNA from 1 species
CUGAGUUCUACAAAACUCCCAACCCUUUGUGAAUUAUACCUUAGUUGCCUCGGCGUCGAACAAGUCACCUACCCGGGAGCUACUCUGGAGUCACCUACCCUGUAGAACCUACCCUGUAGAUGGCUACCCUGGAGCUACCCUGUAGUUGCACUUUUGCGUCGCCGGUGGACUACCAAACUCUUAUAUGUAUAGUGUAUCUCUGAAUUCUUAACAAAAUUAGUUA